ensembl:misc_RNA 7SK 7SK RNA
GGAUGUGAGGGCGAUCUGAUUGCAACAUCUGUCACCCUAUGACCUACAGGGUUGAUUCGGCUGAUCUGGCUGGCUAGGCUAGUGUCCCCUUCCUCCCUCACCACUCCAUGUGUGUCCCUCCUGAAGCUGCCCGCUCGAUGGAAGAGGACAACCAUCCCCAACAGAGGAGGACUGGUCUUCAGUCAAGGAUGUACGAGUAGCUGGGCUUCCCUGCUAGAACCUCCAAACAAGCUCUCAAGAAUCUCCUUCUUUGGAACAUCCGGGCCUUCUUUCCAGUUGGGCUGGGGAAGACACCAGGCUUCCCUACAGAGAAGCCAUCCUCCCAAGGACCCUCCCUGACCCCGAUCUGUUUGGGAAGGA